GACGAACGCUGGCGGCGUGCUUAACACAUGCAAGUCGAACGGAAAGGCCUCUUUCGGGGGGUACUCGAGUGGCGAACGGGUGAGUAACACGUGAGUAACCUGCCCUUGACUUUGGGAUAACUUCAGGAAACUGGGGCUAAUACCGGAUAGGAGCUCCUGCUGCAGGGUGGGGGUUGGAAAGUUUCGGCGGUUGGGGAUGGACUCGCGGCUUAUCAGCUUGUUGGUGGGGUAGUGGCUUACCAAGGCUUUGACGGGUAGCCGGCCUGAGAGGGUGACCGGCCACAUUGGGACUGAGAUACGGCCCAGACUCCUACGGGAGGCAGCAGUGGGGAAUAUUGCACAAUGGGUGGAAGCCUGAUGCAGCAACGCCGUGUGCGGGAUGACGGCCUUCGGGUUGUAAACCGCUUUCGCUCAUGACGAAGCUUUGUGUGACGGUAGUGGGUAAAGAAGCACCGGCUAACUACGUG
rnacentral:rRNA from 1 species